CUUUGCUGACAACCGGAAGCUUGAGCGAGAGAGAAAGAGGGGGAGAAGGAAGUAAGAUGGAGUUCGUCCUGCUCAAAGAGAAGGCACCCGAAUUGGAAUCCCCUGUCGCCAUGGGCAACGCCGAAUUCGAACCAAUGACUGUUAAACGGGAAGACACCAACGAGAUCGAGGUCAUGAUAAGCAAAGAAACAAACCUCUCUGUCACCUCCCACCACUGCCGCGAAUGUGGGCGGGCCUUCACUCACUCUGGGCACUCAAAACACACCAGCGCACUCACACUGGAGACAAACCCCAUCAGUGUAGCGAAUGCGAGAAGAUUUUCGCCCAGCUGGGCAACCUCAAAGAACACUGGAGAAUUCACACUGGGGAAACCCCCUACAAGUGUCCAGACUGUGAGAAGAGCUUCAUUCACUCCAGGAACCUGAGAACCCACCGGCGCUCUCACACCGGAGAGAAACAGUUCCGCUGCUCGGACUGCGGGAAGAGCUUCAGCCAGCUGGAGAAUCUGAAGACCAUCAGCGUACUCACACAGGAGAGAAGCCGUUUCAGUGCAGCGAUUGCAAGAAGAGCUUCAGUCAGCUAGACAAUCUGAAGACGCAUCAGCGCACUCAUACAGGAGAGAAACAGUUUCAAUGUGAGCAGUGCGGGAAGAGUUUCACAUGAGCUAGGACCCUGACUAAGCACCGGAGACAAGCCAUAUCAGUGCGGUCACUGUGGGGGCAGAUUCACCUCCAACCAGCUCAAAGCUCAUCAAUGCAAACAGGAAACUGUGUUGAAGUAGCGGAAAAUGUUUUGGGGUUUUUUUUUGUACAUUUUUUUUUUUUUUAUUAUGGUGGUCCAGUGGUUAUAGAAAGGGGCUUGUUAGUUACCAGGAGGUUCCCAGUCCAAUCCAAGCUUAGCCACUGACUCACUGUAUGUGUGACCACACAGCAAGCCCUUAUGCUCAGUCCUUCAGAAGAGAUGUAAAAACCAAGGUCCUGUUGUAAGUGACUCUGCAAGAGCAGUUGUUGAUAAUGCCAGUUCACCCCCUCGUCUCUGUAAUUAGCUUUUGAUAAAAAUCUGCUAAAUGACUCAUUAAUGUUUGCAUAUGUUCUUGUUUACAAUCAUUAAUGUUAAAUAAUGUUAAUAGCAAGUUUCAUCACAAUUGGGUAAGCGAUUCUCAAGAUACAAGAAACGAUGUAAAGUGCUCUGUGUGUUUUUUUUACUCAAGUACUGCAGGGUUGGAAGCAUGACUGGUCGCAUAGCAAGUCAGGUUGGAGGUCAGUUCCUUUUUUUUCAAUUCCUUUCUGAAAUCUCAAUUUCAAUUCCCUUUUAAUGAAUUGCACGACGUCAUCAUUGAUCAAAAUCACAAUCAGCAGAGUUCUGUUAAAACAAGCUUCUCAUUUUCAGCGGCAACAAAUGGCUUCAACUGAAGAACUUGCUGUUUGUUUGUCAAUUAAAUUGCCUUCAAAUGAAAGCAAUAGUCACAACAAUUAUUAUAUCUAUAAAAUAUAAAAUCCAAUUGCUUUGAAGGAAUUGAUUUUAAAAAGGAAUUGAAAAAUAGGAAUUGAACUCAACCCUGAGCACCCAAAUCCUGAUUUGAAACCGCAAGUAUGGAGGCACAGGAAUAUGAAUAUCUAUUUUCCAUUUCAGGUGUGUUUGUUUGAACGUGUAUCUUGGCACUAAUAAUUAAAAAAAAAUAAUAAAAAUGAAACAUUUGA